UGUCCCUUGGUGUAAUGGUUAGCACAACAGUUUUUGGUACUGUUUGUUCGAGUUCGAGUCUUGAAGGGACAA
rnacentral:tRNA from 1 species